ACAUAACCACGCCCACUGAAUGGGUGAUGUCGGGAGGGGGCGUGCCCAUGGGCGGGGCUAUAUUGGAAACCGUAGGUUUCAAACGGGAUUGAGACACGCCCAAUCGGCCACGCCCACUGAAUGGUCUCGGUCGAGGUGGGCGUGCCUGUGGGGCGUGGUCUCGGCUCCAGCUCAACCCAGUUUCAAAGCAACGGUCUCCAGUCCGCAGCCGCCGGAACCCGAACAACAACACAACGUGACCCCAACACACAGUAGGAAGAUGAUGCGCAAGGACCACAACAAGCCUAAGGGCAAAACGUCUGCGUACGCGUUCUUCGUCCAGACGUGCCGAGAGGAGCACCGGAAGAAGAACCCUGAGCAGUCUGUCAACUUCGCAGAGUUCUCCAAGAAGUGCUCAGAGCGCUGGAAGGGUCUGACUCCCAGCGAUAAGAAGUGCUUUGAAGACAUGGCGAAGGCCGACAAGGUCCGCUACAACCGCGAGAUGAAGGACUACGUCCCACCAAAGGGCUUCGGGAAGAGGGGGCGCAAGAGGAAAGACCCAAAUGCGCCCAAACGACCACCGUCGGCGUUCUUUGUGUUCUGCGGUGAGUACCGGCCCAGUGUCAAGCAGCAGUACCCUGGCCUGUCUAUAGGAGACUGUGCCAAGAGGCUGGGAGAGAUGUGGAGCAAACUGACCCAGACUGACAAACUGCCCUACGAGGAGAAGGCCCAGAAACUCCGAGAGAAAUACGACCGGGACAUGGUGGCGUACCGUGGAGGUGGAACCUUCGUCCGUGCCCCGGGAGGGGCCUCAGCGGCCCAGGGCGGAGGAGGAGGUGGAGGAGGAGGAGGAGGAGGAGGCGGAGAUGAGGAGGAUGACGACGGAGAGGAUGAAGACGAUGAUGAUGAUGAUGAUGAGUAGGGUCACAGCGGGAGGCGGAGAGAGAGAGAGAGAAAGGGAGAGUGUGUAAGCGUGUGCGCACAUGUACAAAAGUGAGUUAUGUUUGUGAUGCAUAUUGGUGUGUGUGUGAGUGUGUGUGUGUGUGGUUGUGUGAGUGUGUGUGUGUGUGUGUAGGAGUCGUCAGCUAUGUUAAAGUGACCAAUAAAACCAGAGUUAGUAGUCACACCUCCGGCCCCUUACCUAAACGUGUUACCAUGGAAACCCAGCCCUGCCCCACUGAGCUCUGAUUGGUGGAUCUGUAGCCAAUCAGAAGAGAGCCUCAGUGAGUUUUUAUUCUGUUCCGUUGUCACUGUAGAAACUUUUAUAAUAAAACACAAACAAAACA